CCCCCGUUAAGAACAUACCCUAUACUUGAGUCACCCCUACAGAGCAUGCGCAUUCUUUUCCCUCCUUUAUUCUCUCUCUGAGUGAGUGUGUGUCAGUGUGCAGAGGAGCUUGUGUUUAGUCACAGCCUCUAUACAGAAUAUUAGGUUUAUUAGAACACUGUAGUUGUGUUAAAAGUUCCCUGCUGCAGUAUUUUUCUGAGUUUUGCCCUGAGCUGAACAAACUGACAUUAGAUGCUGUUAUACUGUGAAGGAAAAAAACUCCGGUUGUUUUUUAAGGACAGAAAAGUUAUCAGAUUCCCGAGAUCCAAGAUGGCGAGCCAGACUGAAACUACGAUUCCCAGCAGGCUGUGCUAGUGACGUCAGCAGCACCUGAGCACCGAGCAGCGCAGCAGAGAGAAGGAGAGAAAGAGAGACGCGCAGAUAAGGGAGCGAAACACACACACACACACACACACACACUUUAAGUCUACCCGGGUAGUGAAGCAUAAACACACUUUCUUUGAAACACACACCGAAAAAAGGGGUACAGAGAGACGUGAUACACGGAAAGAAACCAGAUCUUUGUUACUGAAAUUUUACAUUUUCUCCUUUUGGACUAAAAGGGGGUUAUAAAAAAAACUGAACGUUAUUGGUUAAUGGUUGUGGAUUGUGUUAAGUUUAAGCCGAGACUGUAUGUAAAUAUUUGCUAUUGUGAUCCUGAAAGACAAUUAUUUCAGGAAAUUGGGUUAAUUUGAACUGGGUUAUAUCGCAGUGACUGGAAAUAUUUGUUUCUUUUUGUUUUUUUUGUAUACACAUAUCAACAUACACCCUAUUAUAUCUUAGUAUUUUAGAUACACAUUCCCUACACUACACUUUAUUUAACUAUUUCUUUUAAGUUCCUGGGUUAAGUGUAUUACUGUAGUGGGAAAUUCCUUUAAAUUGCUACUGAAAUUGAGCUCUAUGUGAAUUUUGUUUUAUUGUACUUUAUUAUAAGAGUCACUUUAUUGUUUUGAUACUGUUGUGAAGAGCUAAAACCCAGAGUGUGGAAAAAUUAUUUUCUAUUUAGUAUUUUCUGUAAAUAAAUGAAAGAAUUUCAUUUAUAAAACUAUCAA